CCUUUUUGCCUUUUACCUGCCUGUAGGUUGCCACAUGUAACCCUCUGUGAUGUUUAGUCUGCUGCCCGCGUGUUUCAUGUAGUUUGGCUGAUUCCAAGGUUCCCUGUCUGGAGUGGCGUGAUGUGUUGUCCUACACAGAGCACUGUGUGUUAAGUGAUGAACCCUCAAGCCAACGGUCUAUAAUGCCAGUGGCUUGGAUUCAGUCUCCCUCUGAGCAGAAAAGGGUUUGCAUUUGGACUCAGGCUUCAAGCGCGAAUCUGUCUGCUCCUGAUAGAAGCCUCGGCCUCACUUGUUAUCAUCAGACACUUCAUAAGUGAUUCCCAAUUGGACGCUUUUCUGAACCGGGACCCAGAAAUCAAAUCGUGAAUGACUUUGACACUGCAGUAUCCCUCCAGCAGUGUGCUUAAACAGCUCUCCUUCCUGCUGAAUGACAGCAACCUGCCAAUAAAACCCAUUUAGUGUUUGAAGAGGGGAUGUUGUCUACAAUGGCUGCCUGGACCACAAGUCCUUAUUAGUCUUUCUCUGAAGUGCCAGUGGACCCCUGUUAUCCCUUGAUGGUCAAUCAAAGCCGCUCCUUGCUGGUACUGCUGAAUCUCUGAUUCACAGAAAAUGGAUUUCCAUCGAUGGAGUUCUGUGAAAAUGAUGGUCCAUUAAGUUAUAAAGUACAGCACACUUUUAAAUUUCAGUAAAGGUUCAUCUUAGAGUGACUGAAUACACUUAACAAAUUUAAUAUAUAAUUAGAAUGGUAUCUCUUCUUAAUAUUUUGUAGGUUUUGUAAAUGUAAGUUUAGACAAUUACAUUUGAAUUGUGGCUCAGACACAGCAUGGGUCUCAUUUAACAUCUUGUCAACAGCAAGUUCUGCAACAGGAAAUCAGUGUGCACCCAUUAAAGUCUUCUGAAUUUGUCAGAAAUUUGAAGUCUCCUCACUCUUUGUCAGAAAAUAUACUUUAAUGAUGCUA